rnacentral:rRNA from 1 species
GACGAACGCUGGCGGCGUGCUUAACACAUGCAAGUCGGACGGAAAGGCCCUGCUUUUGUGGGGUGCUCGAGUGGCGAACGGGUGAGUAACACGUGAGUAACCUGCCCUUGACUUUGGGAUAACUUCAGGAAACUGGGGCUAAUACCGGAUAGGAGCGCCUGCUGCAUGGUGGGGGUUGGAAAGUUUCGGCGGUUGGGGAUGGACUCGCGGCUUAUCAGCUUGUUGGUGGGGUAGUGGCUUACCAAGGCUUUGACGGGUAGCCGGCCUGAGAGGGUGACCGGCCACAUUGGGACUGAGAUACGGCCCAGACUCCUACGGGAGGCAGCAGUGGGGAAUAUUGCACAAUGGGCGGAAGCCUGAUGCAGCAACGCCGCGUGCGGGAUGACGGCCUUCGGGUUGUAAACCGCUUUCGCCUGUGACGAAGCGUGAGUGACGGUAAUGGGUAAAGAAGCACCGGCUAACUACGUG